GGACUCGCAUGGGAGGUAUUUUCGCAGCUCCAAGUCUCAGGGAAGCUGAAUUGAAGUCUAGUGAGGUAAACAAGCUGGUUUCUCUCUCUAGUUUGAGAUUAGUGAUAGUUUUUGAUGUUGGUUCUCGAUUCUUGCUACCAGCUGGUUUGAGAUGGUUUAAAGCACCAAUUGAGGAGUGGUUUUGCUGUAAUUCUUCACCCCAAAGUCAGAGUUAAAGCCUUCGAGGUAAUUAAUGAGUUUUUCU
rnacentral:lncRNA from 1 species